GGGUGGUAAUGCCGGAUGCUCCAUCACACCGCAUGGUGUGUUGGGAAAGCCUUUGCGGCAUGGGAUGGGGUCGCGUCCUAUCAGCUUGAUGGCGGGGUAACGGCCCACCAUGGCUUCGACGGGUAGCCGGCCUGAGAGGGCGACCGGCCACAUUGGGACUGAGAUACGGCCCAGACUCCUACGGGAGGCAGCAGUGGGGAAUAUUGCACAAUGGGCGCAAGCCUGAUGCAGCGACGCCGCGUGAGGGAUGGAGGCCUUCGGGUUGUAAACCUCUUUUGUUUGGGAGCAAGCCUUCGGGUGAGUGUACCUUUCGAAUAAGCGCCGGCUAACUACGUGCCAGCAGCCGCGGUAAUACGUAGGGCGCAAGCGUUAUCCGGAUUUAUUGGGCGUAAAGGGCUCGUAGGCGGCUCGUCGCGUCCGGUGUGAAAGUCCAUCGCUUAACGGUGGAUCUGCGCCGGGUACGGGCGGGCUGGAGUGCGGUAGGGGAGACUGGAAUUCCCGGUGUAACGGUGGAAU
rnacentral:rRNA from 1 species